AGCAGCCGCGGUAAUUCCAGCUCCAAUAGCGUAUAUUAAAGUUGUUGCAGUUAAAAAGCUCGUAGUUGAAUUUCGGGGUUAGUAGGUUGGUCAUGCCUCUGGUAUGUACUGGUCUCACUGAUUCCUCCUUCCUGAUGAACCUUAAUGCCAUUUAUUUGGUGUUUUGGGGAAUUUGGACUGUUACUUUGAAAAAUUAGAGUGUUUAAAGCAAGCUAACGCUUGAAUACAUUAGCAUGGAAUAAUGAAAUAGGACGUUCGAUCCUAUUUUGUUGGUUUCUAGGAUUGACGUAAUGAUUAAUAGGGAUAGUUGGGGGCAUUAGUAUUCAAUUGUCAGAGGUGAAAUUCUUGGAUUUAUUGAAGACUAACUACUGCGAAAGCAUUUUGCCAAGGAUGUUUUCAUUAAUCAAGAACGAAAGUUAGGGGAUCGAAGACGAUCAGAUACCGUCGUAGUCUUAACCAUAAACUAUGCCGAACUAGGGAUCGGAUGAUGUUAAUUUUUAAU
rnacentral:rRNA from 1 species